rnacentral:tRNA from 1 species
GGGGUCGUAGCUCAAUUUGGCAGAGCGUCGCGUUCGCAAUGCGAAGGUUAGGGGUUCAAGUCCCCUCGGCUCCACCA